AUCACAGAGCACCUGAGGAGGCUAUGGAAAGGUCUCCUUCUGAGUCCAACCACAGGAUCCGUUAGCCCUUUGAGGGUGACCACUGGGCUUCUAUCCAUGAUGCCUGAAUUUCAAGGAUCAAGAAGAGUAAAGGGAAGGUCCCCAGCGAGGAGUCAGCAGCCGUAUGAACCUAGGCCACCUUUGCUCAUCUCUGCUCAUCAGAGAGCGCUUGAUUGUAUUUACUACAACCCUAUCUUCUCAUUAUCUCCAUAAACUGAAUGCAAGGCACCCCAAAGUUAGUAUUCACAUGAAAAUUAAAUGUCAUUCCAAAUA